GUUACAUCUAAAUUAUAUUUAUUUAUUACCGGUACUAGAGUUUAUAAAGCGCCAACAGAUUCCGCAACGCUGUACAAUUAGUGGAGAACGUACAAUAUACACAAACAAAUACAAAAGGUAGAGAGAGCCCUGCCCGUAAGCUGAUAUCUAGCCAUUGGAGCUCUUUUAUACAAAGUGCUUGGCUAGAUGGCCCGUGAGCUUACAAUCUAGGAUACAGUGUGGGUUUGAGACAAGAGGUAGCAGGGGAAAUUUUGAAGUGAUGGCUAAAAAAGAAUUAACAGAGAGAAGCAGCUAUUGAUAAAAUAUAAAGGGAAUGACAAGGUAAUUGAGUGAGAAUUUUAAACAGCUCGAGGAGCAUGCUAUAAUUUAGAGGGAACCUGGGUGGGAAGUGGUGAGAAAAAAAAUGCAGAACUUCACUGAGUAUGAGUUGUGAUAAAUUGUUUCGUGCUAUUUAUUUGUAU